rnacentral:tRNA from 2 species
CGCAGGGUAGAGCAGAUGGCAGCUCGUCGGGCUCAUAACCCGGAGGUCAGAGGUUCGAGUCCUCUCCCUGCUA